GUAGUAGCAAAUACUCUAGCGAGAACCUGGAGGACUGAUGCGGAGAAGGGUUUCGUGUGAACAGCCGUUGCACACGAGUCAGUCGAUCCUAAGCCCUAGGAAAAAUCCGAAGUAUGGAGCGAAAGGCUGCUCCAUAGGGCGAAAGGGAAUCCGGUUCCUAUUCCGGAACCCGGUUGCGGAACCGUUUCACGUCGGGCCCCCCGUCUUCGGACGGGGCUCGUCGGGGUAACCCAAAUUGACCCGGAGAAGCCGUCGGGAAGUCGGGGAAGAGUUGUCUUUUCUGUUUGAGCGUUCGGGUUCCCUGGAAUUCUCUAGCAGAGAGAGAGGGAAUGGAACGCGUAGAGCACCGCAGUUGCGGCGGUGUCCCGACAUGCCCCUCGGACCAUGAAAAUCCGGGCAAAGGCCACGUGGAGGUGUCGCACCGGUUCGUACCCAUAUCCGCAGCAGGUCUCCAAGGUGAAAAGCCUCUAGUCGAUAGAACAAUGCAGAUAAGGGAAGUCGGCAAAUUGGAUCCGUAACUUCGGAAUAAGGAU
rnacentral:rRNA from 1 species